rnacentral:misc_RNA from 1 species
AACGCACAUUGCGCUCGAGGCCUCGGCCGAGAGCAUGUCUGCCUCAGCGUCGGCUUAACCCUCGCCCAAGGCUCCGGCCUGUGGAGCGGAGUUGGUCGUCUCGCUGCUGCACCAACCGUCUAACGGUGCUCACAGCGGCGGGUCGACUGAAGCUGAGCGGCUUCGGCAACGACCCUCAUUGGGCGCUGGCUCGGUAGGUGGCCUCGGCUGCAUGCCGCCAGACCGCUCUGGGUUUGCUCGACAGCCUUUCUCCAUAACUCCAUACUUUCGACCUGAGUUCAGGCAAGAGCACCCGCUGAACUUAA